GCUGCACUUUGGCCACUUGAGCCAGGCAGUCUCCUAGCUGCUCUUACACACUGCAUAGCUGUGUGUGAGUACUCUUUUCAUCCAUCAGUCAGCCAGGGUCUGCAGGACAGAUCCGGCAAGUGGUGCCCUGUAUGAGGAAUGCUGCAACGGAUCUGGACUGAACCCUCAAAAAUAAAGUGACUGCUCAGUAAGUAAUUGGUCCCCACUGGGGAUUUCUAAGUUCGAGGGGAUUUUCAAGCUAGGGUUUCAUCAUGGGACAACAGUUAUAAGCUCAACAGCAACAGUAGAUAAAAGUAUUGAAACAGCUGCUUAAAGCUAGUGGAGACUUGGUUUCGGAGGCUCAAUUAAGGGAUGUAAUGCAAACUGUUGUAUUCCAUAACCCAUGGUUCCCAGAAGAAGGCACACUAGACCUAGGGCUCUGGGAGCAAUUGGGAAGAAAUCUUAAACAACAUUAUGUACAAGGGCAACAGGUCCCAGUAACAUCUUUAAUGUUAUGGGCUUUAGUUAGGGCUGCUUUGGCCCUGCUCUACACAGAAGAGCCUAAAAAAGGAGGGGAGGAAGAACCAUCAUCUACCUUACUGCCUCCUCCUCCUCCCUCAGCCCCGCCAUUACCCGGGUAAAGAUACCAAAGAGGAGACGGAGGAUUUUCCUAAUUCCCCUCCCCCAAUAAAUCGGGAAGAAGACAAGAGAUAUACUACAGUUAUGGGACCCUGUCUUAGGCAAGCAGCAUUAGAAGGGGAGCUCCUGGCUUGUCCUGUGAUGGAAGAUCAACAGGCCAAUUGGGUACAUGAGCCUAUUACUUUCAACACUUUUAAGGAAAUCAGGAAAAGCAUUAGAGAAAAUGGACCUGCUAGCCCAUUCACAAGAGGAUUAAUUGAGGUCAUAGCAGAUAACUACCAUAUUGACUCCAUGGGACUGGUCAGUGCUAGCUAAAACAACUUUAGAGGCCCAUCAAUACCUCCUCUAGAGGGCAGAAUAUAAUGAAUUGUGCAAACAACAGGCUAACCAGAAUCAAUUGGCAGGACAGAACAUCAGCUGCUAUGCUCCAGGGGAGGGGUCCCUAUGUUAAUGUACAACAACAAUUAAAUUUUGUCCCUCAAGCCUAUGCGCUACUGUCUUUGUGCACUCACAGGGCCUGGGACCAAAUUCCCGAAGGUAGAGUUCAACAGGGAUCUUUUAUAAAUGUUCCACAAGGUCGUUAGGAGCCAUUUGUUGAAUUUAUCUAUCAGUUAACCCAGGCAAUUAAGAGACAAAUUAGUCAUGCCAAGACCGCUGAUAUCUUAUUGUUGCAAUUGGCCCAUGAAAAUGUUAAUGUGGAUUGCCAGCAAGCAAUGCAAGCAGUCACAGGGAAAGCAGCUACAGUAGGGGAACUCAUACGAGCAUGUCAGCUGGUGGGGACUGAAACACACAAAGCCAGAAUAUUGGCUAUGGCAUUAAAGCCUCCAAAAGUAAAAAGGGAUAAAAAUCCAAAUUGUUUUCAGUGAGGAAAGCCAGGUCAUAUGAAGCGGGAAUGCCCCAAUAGUAAAGACCAAAGUAACUCAGGAAAAGAACCCCUUUCUAUAUAAGGACAAGCCAUAAAACAGAAAAGGGGGAAUAUGAGUAAGGACCCUGCAACACUACUAGCACAAGGCUUAUUUACCCUUAACUUCCUAAAUUUAAACGAUAAAUUUCAAUCAGCCAUAGAAAAGCACUUUGCAAAAACCUUUCAAAACAUAAAACCUUUACUUUUUAUGGAAAGAUGUAAAUAGUAAGCUAUGGUGAGGUCCAAAUGAUUUGUUAACGUGGGGAAGAGGAUAUGCUUGUGUUCACACCCCCUCAGGUCCUCUUUGGAUUUCUGCGCGACAUAUGAAACCAUACCAUGGCAUGGCUGGAACCCAACCCGGUACCAAAAAUAAAGGAAAUGACCCUGCAGGACCUGCAGCCCCAAAACGAUGCGGCUUCCUCGGACGACACAGGCCCCGGACAUUAUGCUGAAGAAGACAACUCAGGAAGCUGAGCAAAUCCUGCUCCAGACACAAACACCAUUCACUCCAGAUAAUCUGUUCCUUGCUAUGCCCUCCGUUGUACAUUGCAACACUCGCAGGGUAUUGGUUUUUCUUAUUCUCUCACUCUGCCUGCAACUCGUACCUGCUACACUCUAUUAGGCCCAUCUUCUAGAUCCACCUUUCUUCCGCCCUGUUACUUGGGCAGACACCCCCUUCCCAGCUUCUACCAAUGUGACUGCUUGGGUAGGAGGGAUAAACAUACCCCUGGUGGGGUUCCUCAGUAACAGCCCUAUAGAACAAUGUGCAAAAUCACCUCUCCUGGAUAGACCCCCACUCCUGUGGGUCACUCUUUGAUUGGAAAUGAAUAUUACUGAUUAUACUCACGCUUGUCUUAUGUUACCUACUGCUUCUGGGAUGCAAAGCUGGAACACAAGCUGUAACCGCUGCACCUGUCAAGCUUGUCACUGCACACAUCUGUAUUCUUCAAUCAACAAAACCUGAUGCAAAAACAGAAAAGGGGGAGAUGUAGGAGAUCAGUCAGAGUGGUGAGAGAAACUGUAAGGAAAGGAGCAGGCCUUCUGAAGGGUCAGAAGGCUCUGCAUAGCUUCGGGGAAGAAUAGCUAAAGGCAGCUGUUCUCUAACCCUGAAGCAGAGGGUGAGGAGUAUGUGCAAGGGGGUGAAGGUGAAAUUAUCUUGAUCAGGUUUGUUCGUUUGAAGUUGUCCAGGAAUUGAACUUUGAACAUCCGUGUGACUGACGUCCCCUGAAAGGGGAACAAUAUGUUAAUUACCCACAGAUUGUGUUUGCUCCAGGCUUUCGGCAUUCUGCCUGCACUGAAUAAAAGCAAGCAGCUCCAGCUUCUGGGGGCUGCACUUUGGCCACUUGAUCCAGGCAGUCCCCUAGCUGCUACACUGCAUACCUGUGUUAUCAAGAACAAAAUGGGGGCUUCUGCACAGCAACUUCAGAAGAUAAGCAGAUUUUCUGGAAAUGGAUUUAGAGCAAGAGAGGAUAUCUAAAAUCAAAGAUAUAUGACACUGCUGGGGCUCAGAAACUGAUAUCCCAAAAUAUUGCACUUUGACAUGCUGAACUGAAGAAGCUACAAGGUCUCUCUGACCUUCUCCCCACCCCUCCUGUCUCUCAAUCCUUUCCGUCUCCCAAAGCACAGGAUGAAGUUGUUUUCAGAAGUUCCUUAUCUGCCUAAAGUCCAAACCUGCCAAAGAAUACAAUUAUCUUUAGUCUCUACUCUGAGUUUUCAUUAAAUGAACUAAUAUCACAGGGAGAAACACAAGCCUGUCAACAAACCUAGAUAGAUUUUGUCACAAACCACUGUCUACUCUGCAGCCCUAACAGACAUUGUCCCAGGCCCUUGCAUGUUCUUCAAGCCCAUUGAAUUCCCCUACAAAUCAUUUAUUAUAUCCCUAAAAACACUUCUCAAGCUCCCAUUUCCCUAGGAAGUAGAAUAAACAUCUAUGUCCAAUUGCA